rnacentral:rRNA from 1 species
UAAUACGAAGGGUGCAAGCGUUGUUCGGAUUUAUUGGGCGUAAAGGGCGCGUAGGCGGAUCUAUAAGUCAGAUGUGAAAGCCCAGGGCCUAACCCUGGAACUGCGUCUGAAACUACAGAUCUAGAAUCUCGGAGAGGAAAGGAGAAUUUCGCAUGUAGGGGUAAAAUCCGUAGAGAUGCGAAGGAAUACCGGAAGUGAAAACGCCUUUCUGGACGAGUAUUGACGCUGAGGCGCGAAAGCGUGGGGAGCAAACAGG